ACGAACGCUGGCGGCGUGCUUAACACAUGCAAGUCGAACGGUGAAGGGGCCUGCUUUUGUGGGCCCUGGAUGAGUGGCGAACGGGUGAGUAACACGUGAGUAACCUGCCCCCUUCUUCUGGAUAACCGCAUGAAAGUGUGGCUAAUACGGGAUAUUCUGGGUCUGUCGCAUGAUGGGUCUGGGAAAGAUUGCGCCUUUGGGUGUUUUUGGUGGGGGAUGGGCUCGCGGCCUAUCAGCUUGUUGGUGGGGUGAUGGCCUACCAAGGCGGUGACGGGUAGCCGGCCUGAGAGGGUGGACGGUCACACUGGGACUGAGACACGGCCCAGACUCCUACGGGAGGCAGCAGUGGGGAAUAUUGCACAAUGGGCGCAAGCCUGAUGCAGCGACGCCGCGUGAGGGAUGGAGGCCUUCGGGUUGUAAACCUCUUUCGCCAGUGAAGCAGGCCUGCUCCUUGUGGGUGGGUUGACGGUAGCUGGAUAAGAAGCGCCGGCUAACUACGUG
rnacentral:rRNA from 1 species